AAGGGGAGAGUCUUUUCUGCUGCAGCUCAGGGGGCGUGUCCCUCUCUCCCUAUCACAGCUCAGGAGGCAGUUGAAGGAUUAAAAACUGGGCAUGUGCGGCCGUCUCAGUGAUCAGGUCAAAUAAAUCAGAAAAAGA